GGGCAGGUGAGGUUCGUUAGCCGUGGUAGGCAAUUCACCUAGGAGAACAAACUCCGAACAAUAAACCCGGGCAGGUUGGGCUCGUGAGCCGUCAUAGGUAAUACACCUAGGAGAGCAAACUCCGAACAAUAAACCCGGGCAGGUGGAGGUCGUUAGCGAAAGCAAUUCAUCUAGGAGAGCAAACUCCGAUUACAAACCCGGGCAGGUGGAGGUCGUUAGCGAAAGCAGUUCACCUAGGAGAGCAAACUCCGAUUACAAACCCGGGCAGGUGAGGUUCGUUAGCCGUGGUAGGCAAUUCACCUAGGAGAGCAAACUCUGAACAAUAAACCCGGGCAGGUUGGGCUCGUGAGCCGCCAUAGGUAAUACACCUAGGAGAGCAAACUCCGAACAAUAAACCCGGGCAGGUGGAGCUCGUCAGCCGUGGUAGGCAAUCUGCCUAGGAGAGCAAACUCCGAACGAUAAACCCGGGCAGGUGGAGCUCGUCAGCCGUGGUAGGCAGUCUGCCUAGGAGAGCAAACUCCGAACAAUAAACCGGGGCUUGUGGUGCUCGUUAGAUGUCGUAGACAAUCCACGUGAUGGGAACACCAAUGAAAAGGAAAAUAAAAAGGAACACCAGAAAAAGGAAAAUAUAGUAACAAAACAUCAAGAAAAGAAAAUGAAAAACACAGAUCAUCCACCUUCAGGCCCUAACAUCUCCAAAAUUAUGGAUGAGUCUUUUCUGGGGAGAAAGAGGCUCAUCCAGACCAAAGAACAUAAAAAAUGGAUGAUAUAGAAAGGAACACCAAAAAAAUGGGAAAAAGAGAAAAAAACAUCGCAAAAGAAAAGUAACAACAAUAACAGAACGUCAAGAAAAGUAACAUACAAAGAAACAUCAUCCACCAUUCGGCCCCAAACUAACAUCACCAAAAUUAUGGGUGGGUCUUUUCUGGGGAGAAAGAGGCUCACCCAGACCAAAGAACAUCAAAGAGGGAUGAUAUAGAAAAGAACACCUAAAAAUAGGGGAAAAAAGAGCAAAAAAACAUCGCAAAAGAAAAGUAACAGCAAUAACAGAACAACAUCAAGAAAAGUAACAUACAAAGAAACAUCAUCCACCAUUCGGCCCCAAACUAACAUCACCAAAAUUAUGGGUGGGUCUCUUCUGGGAGGAAAGCGGCUCACCCAGACCAAUGAACAUCAACAAGAGGAUGAUAUGAAAUAAAAGAACAUCAAAAAAGAAAAACAACAGCAAGAAAACAAAGAAAAAGAUAAAGAAAAGAAAAGGAAAAAGAAACAAAAAGAAAAAGAAAAACACCAAAAUAAAAUAAAACAAAAACAAAAAAAUAAUCCAAAUAAAUAAAUAAAUAAACAAAUACAGAA